GUGCUUGCUUCAUUAAUAUAUAUACUAAAAUUGGAACAGCACAGAGAUCAACAUGGUCCAUGUGCAAGGGUGGUUCACAUGUUUGUGAAUCUUUCCAUAUUUUU
ensembl:snRNA U6 U6 spliceosomal RNA